UACAGAGGUGGCAAGCGUUGUUCGGAAUUACUGGGCGUAAAGCGUGCGCAGGCGGUUUUGUAAGCCAGAUGUGAAAUCCCCGGGCUUAACCUGGGAAUGGCAUUUGGGACUGCAAGGCUCGAGUGCGGCAGAGGAGACUGGAAUUCCUGGUGUAGCAGUGAAAUGCGUAGAUAUCAGGAGGAACACCGAUGGCGAAGGCAGGUCUCUGGGCUGACACUGACGCUCAUGCACGAAAGCGUGGGGAGCAAACAGG
rnacentral:rRNA from 1 species